rnacentral:lncRNA from 1 species
GAGAUGUUUGUCCAGGUUCAAGCACUGCACCCUCUGUGGCAAGCGUCCCAGGUCCCAGGUCUCAGCCUGUCUCAGUUGCAUAGAAGAGAGACCCAGGAAAGGAAAGAUCAUAAUCCCUGAUAAUCUGCAGGUGAAAGGUGUACCUGAAAACUGAAUCUUUUAUUUUCCAUUUUGCCGUCACAUCACACAACCUCUAUCCGCAGGGAGGACAAGGCCUGGAAGCCCUCGUCAAAACGGUUUCCUUUACCUCCAACUGCCAGAAACCGGGGGAAGCAGGGCCUUUAGAAGAAUCGAGGUGUAUCUGUGUUUUUUUUGAAAGGAGAUGUUUGUCCAGGUUCAAGCACUGCACCCUCUGUGGCAAGCGUCCCAGGUCCCAGGUCUCAGCCUGUCUCAGUUGCAUAGAAGAGAGACCCAGGAAAGGAAAGAUCAUAAUCCCUGAUAAUCUGCAGGUGAAAGUAACAGUUGGAAGUGUCUAUCCCUCAGUUGCUGAUUUAUUAUUUAGAACAUGUUAA